GACGGAGGAUGCAAGUGUUAUCCGGAAUCACUGGGCGUAAAGCGUCUGUAGGUGGUUUAACAAGUCCACUGUUAAAAAUUGAAGCUUAACUUCAAAGAUGCAAUGGAAACUUUUAAACUUGAGUAUGGUAGGGGUAGAGGGAAUUUCCAGUGGAGCGGUGAAAUGCGUAGAUAUUGGAAAGACCACCAAUGGCGAAGGCACUCUACUGGGCCAUUACUGACACUGAGAGACGAAAGCUAGGGGAGCAAAUGGG
rnacentral:rRNA from 1 species